rnacentral:rRNA from 1 species
GAUGAACGCUGGCGGCGUGCCUAAUACAUGCAAGUCGAGCGAACAGAUGAGGAGCUUGCUCCUCUGACGUUAGCGGCGGACGGGUGAGUAACACGUGGAUAACCUACCUAUAAGACUGGGAUAACUUCGGGAAACCGGAGCUAAUACCGGAUAAUCUAUUGAACCGCAUGGUUCAAUAGUGAAAGACGGUUUUGCUGUCACUUAUAGAUGGAUCCGCGCCGCUUUAGCUAGUUGGUAAGGUAACGGCUUACCAAGGGAACGAUGCGUAGCCGAGCUGUGAGAGUGAUCGGCCACACUGGAACUGGGACACGGUCCAUACUCCUACGGGAGGCAGCAGUAGGGAAUCGUCCGCAAUGGGCGAAAGCCUGACGGAGCAACGCCGCGUGAGUGAUGAAGGUCUUCGGAUCGUAAAACUCUGUUAUUAGGGAAGAACAAAUGUGUAAGUAACUAUGCACGUCUUGACGGUACCUAAUCAGAAAGCCACGGCUAACUACGUG